rnacentral:rRNA from 1 species
GGAAUCUUGCACAAUGGAGGAAACUCUGAUGCAGCGAUGCCGCGUGAGUGAAGAAGGCCUUUGGGUUGUAAAGCUCUUUUGUAGGGGAAGAUAAUGACUGUACCCUAAGAAUAAGGUCCGGCUAACUUCGUGCCAGCAGCCGCGGUAAUACGAAGGGACCUAGCGUAGUUCGGAAUUACUGGGCGUAAAGCGCGCGUAGGCCGUUGAAUUAGUUAAUUGUGAAAUCCCAAAGCUUAACUUUGGAACUGCAAUUAAAACUGUUCGACUAGAGUUUGAUAGAGGAAAGCGGAAUACAUAGUGUAGAGGUGAAAUUCGUAGAUAUUAUGUAGAACACCAGUUGCGAAGGCGGCUUUCUGGAUCAACACUGACGCUGAGGCGCGAAAGUAUGGGUAGCAAAGAGGAUUAGAUACCCUCGUAGUCCAUACCAUAAACGAUGAUUGCUAGAUGUUGGAAAUUUAUUUUCAGUAUCGCAGCUAACGCAUUAAGCAAUCCGCCUGGGGAGUACGACCGCAAGGUUAAAACUCAAAUGAAUUGACGG